rnacentral:rRNA from 1 species
GAUGAACGCUGGCGGCGUGCCUAAUACAUGCUAGUCGAGCGGACCAAAGAGAGCUUGCCCUCUGAGGUCAGCGGCGGACGGGUGAGUAACACGUGGGUAACCUGCCUAUAAGACGGGGAUAACUUCGGGAAACCGAAGCUAAUACCGGAUGAUAAAGAGAAACGCCUGUUUCUUUUUUGAAAGUCGGCCUUGUGCUGACGCUUACAGAUGGGCCCGCGGCGCAUUAGCUAGUUGGUGAGGUAACGGCUCACCAAGGCGACGAUGCGUAGCCGACCUGAGAGGGUGAUCGGCCACACUGGGACUGAGACACGGCCCAGACUCCUACGGGAGGCAGCAGUAGGGAAUCUUCGGCAAUGGACGAAAGUCUGACCGAGCAACGCCGCGUGAGCGAUGAAGGCCUUCGGGUCGUAAAGCUCUGUUGUCGGAGAAGAACAAGUACCGGAGUAACUGCCGGUACCUUGACGGUACCUGACCAGAAAGCCACGGCUAACUACGUGCCAGCAGCCGCGGUAA